rnacentral:rRNA from 1 species
UACAGAGGGGGCAAGCGUUGUUCGGAAUUACUGGGCGUAAAGGGCGCGUAGGCGGCCUUCUAAGUCGAACGUGAAAUCCCUGGGCUCAACCCAGGAACUGCGUCCGAUACUGGAAGGCUUGAAUCCGGGAGAGGGAUGCGGAAUUCCAGGUGUAGCGGUGAAAUGACGUAGAUAUCUGGAGGAACACCGGUGGCGAAGGCGGCAUCCUGGACCGGCAUUGACGCUGAGGCGCGAAAGCCAGGGGAGCAAACGGG